rfam:Amborella trichopoda AMTR_V1.0_contig_40665, whole genome shotgun sequence.
GUCUUGGUAGCUCGGCGGUAGAGCGGUUGACAGUUCACGUCGUGAUCCGUUGAUGAGCGUUGGUUCAAAUCCAAUUCGAGAUU